rnacentral:misc_RNA from 1 species
GUGAAUCAUCGAAUUUUUGAACGCAAAUUGCACUCUCUGGUAUUCCGGAGAGUACGCCUGUUUGAGGGUCAGCUUAAAUAAAAAUCGGUGUGGUUGCUGCCUUUUGUGGUGACGAACCGGAUUUGGGUGGUCUUGCCUUUGGUUAAGUGACCUAAAAUUUUGCAUGACUUUUUCGAACGUAAUUAAAAGAUU